AUUGAACGCUGGCGGCAGGCUUAACACAUGCAAGUCGAGCGAGCGGCGGACGGGAGAGUAAUGUAUGGGGACUGCCCGAUAGAGGGGGAUAACUACUGGAAACGGUAGCUAAUACCGCAUAUUAUCGGAUAACCCAUAUGGGAUUAGCUAGUAGGGGAGGUAAUGGCUCACCUAGGCGACGAUCCCUAGCUGGUCUGAGAGGAUGAUCAGCCGCACUGGGACUGGGACACGGCCCAAACUCCUACGGAGGCAGCAGUGGGGAAUAUUGCACAAUGAGCGCAAACCAGAUGCAGCCAUGCCGCGUGUAUGAAGAAGGCCCUAGGGGUGUAAAGUACUUUCAGUCGGGAGGCGUUACCGACAGAAGAAGCACCGGCUAACUCCGUGCCAGCAGCCGCGGUAAUUC
rnacentral:rRNA from 1 species